rnacentral:rRNA from 1 species
GACGAACGCUGGCGGCGCGCCUAACACAUGCAAGUCGAACGGAGCUACUAAGUUUGAAGCUUCGGCAGAUAACUUAGGAGCUUAGUGGCGAACGGGUGAGUAACACGUGAGGAACCUGCCUUCAAGAGGGGGAUAACACUUAGAAAUAGGUGCUAAUACCGCAUAAGACCACACUGCGGCAUCGCAGAGGGGUCAAAGGAGCAAUCCGCUUGAAGAUGGCCUCGCGUCCGAUUAGGUAGUUGGUGGGGUAACGGCCCACCAAGCCGACGAUCGGUAGCCGGACUGAGAGGUUGAUCGGCCACAUUGGGACUGAGACACGGCCCAGACUCCUACGGGAGGCAGCAGUGGGGAAUAUUGGGCAAUGGGGGAAACCCUGACCCAGCGACGCCGCGUGAGGGAAGAAGGUUUUCGGAUUGUAAACCUCUGUCUUCGGGGACGAUAGUGACGGUACCCGAGGAGGAAGCCACGGCUAAUUACGUGCCAGCCGCCGCGGUAAAAC